rnacentral:rRNA from 1 species
GUCUUUUUGACUUAAAUAUAAAGUAUAACCUGCCCAUUGAUAUUUUUAAAAGGCUGCGGUAUAUUGACCGUACAAAGGUAGCAUAAUCAUUAGUUUUUUAAUUGAGAACUUGUAUGAAUGGUUGAAUGAGAAAUGAACUUUUUUAAUAAAAAAAUUGAAUUUUACAUUUUAAUUAAAAGGUUGAAAUGUAUUUAAAAGACGAGAAGACCCUAUAGAGUUUUAUAAUUUAUAUUUAAUAUUAAAAAAAAUUAAUAGAUAUUUUUAUUUAAAUAAUUAUUUUGUUGGGGUGAUGAUAAAAUUUAACUAACUUUUAUUUUUUUUUACAUUAAUAUAUGGGAAAUUGAUCCACUAUUAGUGAUUAAAAGAUUAAAUUACCUUAGGGAUAACAGCGUAAUUUUUUUUUUAAGUUCAUAUUAAUAAAAAAUUUUGCGACCUCGAUGUUGGAUUAAGAUUUAAUUUUAGGUGCAGAAGUUUAAAAUUUAAGUCUGUUCGACUUUUAAAUUCUU